rnacentral:lncRNA from 1 species
CUCAGUGAACACUGUACUCAUGGAUAGGAAAGUCAACAACAAAUAGUGUCUUAAGGAUGCCUGACCUUUAUCAAGGACUCAAGGAUGGGUACACCCACUCACACGCAGCUACUCUACCUGCCUGACUGCACCCGAAGGAGCCAACAUCAAGGCAGGCUCAGCAGUCACCAACAUUACGAGGGUUUUCCUGAAGGCCAACCCAAGUUGCACUCACGCCUGCAAACCUUCAGGCACCAAUUGUACAAAGCUGCCUCGAGUCAGAGCAGAAUCCUGAUAAUGGAACUCUGUUUCAACACUGCAAUUGGCAAGUGGAAUUGAUGCAAAAAGGAGAAGAGAGAAGUGGCAAACAACGUACCAUUCUUAGCUCAUUCCUUCCCAAGUGCACUGAAAGGUGACUCUAUGUAAGGACCUGUCAAUACUGUCAGCUGCCAUCAGCAUUCCAGCCACACCUUUCUUUAGAAUUAACCAUGAACUAAUGCAGAGCAAUCUGCCUUGGGGCCCUCUUGUUUGGAGACGGUCUUGUACACGACAGCUUGGCUACCAACCACAUGCUGAGGAACCACUACCUGGAGAGGACAAAGCCUCCCAUUACCAUCCCAGAUCCUGAGCCCAAGUGUCUGCAUAUGCAUGUCCUCACAGACAUAGGAACGGUCCCUAGUUCUCAGCUGGGGGUGGUUAUGGCUACAAAUGGCAGGCGAAAGCCCACCUCGUUAUGAUAAAAUUAGCAAGAGGGGUUCUACCUCAUCUCUCAUAGGAAGGUGAACAGAGACAUCGACACCAUCUUCGUGGGCUUCUCAGUGUAAAAAAUAUCAAACUAUCAAGCACAGUGCAAAAUCAUUCCUGGGUACAGGAUAUCCAUCAGCAAACAAGAAUGACAGAUCACCCUUUAUUAAGAAACUAUCUGCCACAAAAGCCCAGAGGAGGAGCUGACAAAAGGAAUGUCUGCAGCCAGAGAAGAGCUGGUGAUGUUCUCACUGCUCUACAGGAACCCACCUGGAGGGGCAGUGUGGCUGACACCGCCAUCUGUAGGACCUUCACAUCGCACAGCUGCAUCGCAUCCCAGGCAGAAUAUUCCCGUGUUGGGUGCUUCCCAGAAGGCUCUUCCUCGAGGAGCACAAACCUAUGGUGCAGGGUUUUCUUUUAUGUCUUUGUAUCACACAGAAAUUUAUCUCUGUUUAAGUUAUAUUCCCACUACAUCGUCAUCAGACUUCCUACUCUCAUUUUGCUCUCCAGUGUGGAUGUUGUCUGUAAGAACAGAUAUAGGGGAGAAUGCUUGCAACCAAAGUCUCCUGAAGACCUCAGGGGCAGCACAAGGGAUCCUACAGUUGCCUGAAUCAGGUGUAAAACCACACAGCAAUUUCUCCACCUCCACUGUGCUGACAGAUUAUAGAAGACAGCUGGGUUGUAUGGGACAGUGUGCAAUUUCCUCAGGACAUUUUAGGGAACUGUCUCAUUAUCCCACUCACAGCACUGACAAUUUAACAGUGCAGUGGUAGGGUUGUUGAAACUGGCAUGGUCUACACACAAGAGGGAAGAGGGACAGGGGGCAGCCUGAAAAUAGCUGAAAGAUACAAUCUCCCCCUAGAAACAAGCCUUGAGAUUGCCACUUCUGCUGUUUCAGGGUGACUGGGAUUCAUAUGCCCUACUAUUCUGCUUCUUCAUUAAUGCCAUGCAGCUCUAUCCUACCACAAGGACAGCGGAUAUGACACAGGAAUCCUUUGCUGCAGGUCAAGGAAACCCAGCCCACACAGGAGGAAUAACUGGCAAGACCUAACCUACAAUUUUCAUGCACUGCUCCUUGAAACAUAAGUCUUCUUCCUUCAGACACAAGUAGUCCUCUUGACAACAAACUUUUAUUCCAGUGUCUCUUAGCUAACUGAGUGCACUUGACUGAGCCAACAAAUACUCAUCCUGCAGAUGAAACAAAGCUGAACUCUUGGGAACUGAAGGACCGAGGAAAGAUUUACAUUAAAAACAAUAACAAUAAUCUGGUCCCAAGGAGGAUGAAUUACUCAGACUUGAAACAGGCUGGGUGGAAACCAGUGAAAAUAUGACUUUUCCCAUAUUUAGUAAUUAAGUUCAGCCAGUCCCGGGAAUGCCAGAAAAAAAGGCAGAUCACAACAUACAGGAUUCAUCAGAAAUUUUUCUUGCUGAAGAAAAACAGUACCUGAGGUUUUGAGUUGGAGCUACUCAGGACCUCUGCUGUUUGCACAAAACAACAGCACCAUCCAGUGGAUAAACAGUACUUGCAUUCCCCUCCCACCACCUGCCACCUAUCUAUAGAAACUGCACUACAUAAACUUUACCACAAUUAUAAGUGAACUAAGGCUGCAUUUAUAUUAACCUUGGGUAAGAAAAGCUCAGACAUUUCAGGAGAGUGGUAAAAGAGCUCCCCAAAGAACCAAACUUUUCACCUCCAGGCAGCUCCGUCAGCAGAUUUUGCAGCACUACCUCUCACCAAGUGUUCUCUGCACCAAGACUGCAAUCUCUUCACUGCUGAGGUGGAAAAAAAUGACUCCAGAGGAGAUGAACAGUCACCAUACCUCACCCUGGGAACAGCUUCACAGCCAGAUGUGCUGCAGCGAGUCCACAUAUGACCACAGAGAGAAGGCAUGCAACUCUUCUGCUACAUUUGGCCCAGUUAGUGCUGCCAGUUUUGGGGAUGUGUUGAGGCUGCUUAGGAUUCCCCAGGAUAACGGCUGUUUCAUCUGUUUCCACAGUGAAAACUCUUCGGUUUGGCUUUAUGUGAGAACAGUCACUCUCCCCCCAGCAGGCAUGGCGCUACCCUCUCUGGGAAAACAAGCAAUUAGCCCGUUUCUGUGCAACAAAAGAAGAUAAAACAAUGUAAAGCUUCCUCUGUUUAUUGUUACAGGCACAAGUUAGCAACUAAGGAAUGUAAGCAGUACACAGCAUUCUGAACAGCUGAUCACACCGUGACUCACCCACUACACAUCCGUAUCUCCGUGCCUGCAUUCCUGACCUACUUUGGGAAUUCAGGCAGCGUUACCAACACGAGAUUUUCCUCUUCAGAAGGAGCAUCUCACAGCUAUUCCACAGCUCCUGGCUGGGAUCCACUACACAGGUUUAGUAUGCCAAAGGUAACAUUGGAGGUAACAGCAAUUCACAUGGACUCCCAUGUUUUCUGUUUGUGUCCCAGCAGACAGCCGUACUCACACAUGGCUCUGGCACUUCAUUUUCCUUACCCUCAGGAACCCGGUGCUGCUCCCACAACGCACAACCCCACUGACUCCUCGCAGCCGCUGCUCACUGCAAGCUUCAGAAGCAGUUAUUUCACCCUUCACGUGGGAUUAUAUUGUCUAAAACAGCCUGUGACAGAUAACAUGUUCUUUGAGCACCGUUCCUACCAUCCUCAUAGGAAUAAACGCAGCCUAUUACCAAUUCACGGACCGCGGAUUUAAUUGUCAGACACAUGGAGCCUGGACACAGCAAUUAAGAGGAUCGAGGGAUUUGGUGAGGGAAAAAAAAAAACGUUGGCUUUGUCCUUUUUAGUGCUACGAUAGCCUCAAAACUACUCUGGAAACUCUCAUUUGAACACAUAUAGCGGCGCCGCCAUAUUACCAUGCACCGCCCUGUGGUGCCGCACUGCGCAUGCGCACACACCCCUCCGCUGCCGUAGAAACACAGCACCUGCAGCACGCAUGCGCACUAAGGCUGCGUCAGGCAGCGCGCAUGCGCAUUGCAUGACAGCACCGGGGCGGACGCCUUUCCCGCGCAGCCUCUCCCGUGCCGUGGCGAGCUACGGGUGCCGCGUAGGGAGCGAGCGGUUGCCAUGGCAGCGAGGCCUGCAGCUCACUCGCCCCGCGCGCCACCUCUUCAGGUGGACGUAGCCUAGGGGCUUCGAUCGACUUAGCCACAUUUCUCUCUCAAAUACGGGCCUUGUCGAUGACAGCUUUUACCACUGUCCUGUCACCAAGAGCAUCUCGCCAUUGUGGAGGCACCGCUCGUAGGAGAUGGGAUGGGUUGGUGGCAGCCACUCUUCCCUGUGUGGGACAGGCACUGCGGGCGCCAUUUUAUGAGGAGGAACAGGAUCUGAGUGGAACACAGUUGUCCUUGUAAAAAUACCAGCCACUUUUCUGCACUGCUUUUACCAGUGUCAAGAGGCGAAGAGAUGUCUCUGCUCCCAGGAUGCAGUUAGCUGCUGUUUUCACAGGCAUGAAGCUGAGCUCAGCGGGGUCAGCCGGAACCAUCUUGGAUUUGUUUCAAAAAGCCAGUGUGAAGGAGGAUGAAGUAUUCCUUUCAAGGAGAUGAGAAUGGCAGCUCACAUCUAAUCUCAGCACUAAUGCUUUGGCUUUGGCUAUUUGUUUUCUAACUGUAGCAUUGGAAGUCUCCCUGCCAAGAGAGUUUGUGCAGUCUCCAUCUGUGGAGGUUUUCAAGACCCUACAGGAUAAAGCCCUGAGUAACCUGGCCUAAUCUCACAGCUGAUGCUGCUUUGAGCAGGAGGUUGAACUACACACCUCUUUACGUCCCUUCCAACCCAUGCCCCUUCCAACCUGAAUUAUUCAAUGAUACUAUCCUUUCCAUCCAUUUUAAAUGUGCUGUUCUAUCAUCUUUGGCUUCCUUCAGCUAUCACACCAAUACAUUACUAGGUUUGAGAGUUCAUUCCUACAGAACACGACCAGGAAGAACUUACAAGUUUAACUAGU